CGACAGGCUUAACACAUGCAAGUCGAGGGGAAACGACAUCGAAAGCUUGCUUUUGAUGGGCGUCGACCGGCGCACGGGUGAGUAACGCGUAUCCAACCUGCCCACCACUUGGGGAUAACCUUGCGAAAGUAAGACUAAUACCCAAUGAUAUCUCUAGAAGACAUCUGAAGGAGAUUAAAGAUUUAUCGGUGAUGGAUGGGGAUGCGUCUGAUUAGCUUGUUGGCGGGGUAACGGCCCACCAAGGCGACGAUCAGUAGGGGUUCUGAGAGGAAGGUCCCCCACAUUGGAACUGAGACACGGUCCAAACUCCUACGGGAGGCAGCAGUGAGGAAUAUUGGUCAAUGGGCGAGAGCCUGAACCAGCCAAGUAGCGUGCAGGAUGACGGCCCUAUGGGUUGUAAACUGCUUUUAUAAGGGAAUAAAGUGAGUCUCGUGAGACUUUUUGCAUGUACCUUAUGAAUAAGGACCGGCUAAUUCCGUGCCAGCAGCCGCGGUAAUACGGAAGGUCCGGGCGUUAUCCGGAUUUAUUGGGUUUAAAGGGAGCGUAGGCCGGAGAUUAAGCGUGUUGUGAAAUGUAGACGCUCAACGUCUGCACUGCAGCGCGAACUGGUUUCCUUGAGUACGCACAAAGUGGGCGGAAUUCGUGGUGUAGCGGUGAAAUGCUUAGAUAUCACGAAGAACUCCGAUUGCGAAGGCAGCUCACUGGAGCGCAACUGACGCUGAAGCUCGAAAGUGCGGGUAUCGAACAGGAUUAGAUACCCUGGUAGUCCGCACGGUAAACGAUGGAUGCCCGCUGUUGGUCUGAAUAGGUCAGCGGCCAAGCGAAAGCAUUAAGCAUCCCACCUGGGGAGUACGCCGGCAACGGUGAAACUCAAAGGA
rnacentral:rRNA from 1 species